rnacentral:lncRNA from 1 species
UACACAGAAGCCAACAAAAAUGUAUACAUACUUCAUGAGAAGAAAAAUAGCGUGAUUUUGUUUCAAAAGAUGGCAUCACCCUGGUAUGCGGGACGCUAGAGGUUGUCGUGCAUGACAGAACAGCCACUACUCUGCUGGAGAAAUUGACAACGUACGCGCAUGAUCGUCAUGAUGAAGGCCAGCAGCUCGCAGCACUAAGGAAUGUCUGGACGCUCACGGCCACCACCCUGAGCACCUCUGGUCAUUGUAGAGGGAAUGAGACAUCCAACUGCCAGCUGCAAUUCUCAUGCGAUUCUCACGCAGUGUUUUCAUACCAAAUUUAUGGCGACAUCAUGAGAUUAACAGAAGGGAACAAAUGUCUCAUCCUGGUGUUGUUCCCAUCUGAUUGGUCAAAGCAAGGUCUGUGGCUGCAAAUCCUCCUCUCCCAGCGACCACAGAAGGGGGCCAGAAAUAGUCGACUGCUAUUUCUGUGGAUACGGGCUGAUAUAGUCAGGUGAAUUUAUUUGGUACAGGC